UCUCCGUUGGUGAACCAGCGGAGGGAUCAUUAUCGAGUUUAUAACUCCCAAACCCUAUGUGAACUUACCACUUGUUGCUUCGGCGCGCGCUUCGGUGCCGCCGAGGACACUUAAACUCUUUGUUUUUAUAAGCAUUUCUGAGUGGCCGAAAGGCAAAAUACAAAUGAACCAAAACUUUCAACAACGGAUCUCUUGGUUCUG
rnacentral:misc_RNA from 1 species